AGGAGCAUAGCUCAGCUGGUAGAGCAGCGGUCUCCAAAACCGCAGGCCGUGGGUUCGAAUCCUACUGCUCCUGCCA
rnacentral:tRNA from 1 species